CACACACACACACACACACACACACACACACACACACACACACACACACACACACACACACUUUACAAAUUAAUAGAUGAUGUGUAAUAUUUGUUGUAUUUAUUUUUUUAUUUAUUUAUUUAUAAGUAGAGACGCAAUAUGGAGUUAUUGACAAGGAUGGUGACAAGAGAUGACCGUUGUUCAAAGUUGCAGUUUCUUCUGGGAAUGACAUCUUUGAUCGUUUUCAUUCUUUAAGAUACUCCCACACCAUACUACGGCGGAUGGAAUACACGUGUGGAACGCGUUACCUAGCAGUGUCUGUGUUGCGUGUUUGUGUCCCUCAUUACUGCUGAUGGUGGAGGAUCUGACAAGACAUAUGUGCAGGUUAGACACACACGCAUAGAAGAGGAACUGCAUUAGGAGAGCCAGACCAGCGACGGACAGAGCGGUG